GUCAAAGGAAAACCAAACAGCGUCUUUGCUUUGAAAGGUUCAUCAGUGAAUCUGAGCUGCUCGGCUCCACGUUCAGCUGCAGACAUCAAAUGGUACAUUGUGAGCAAGAGUGAUGCAGGAUAUGUUUAUAUUGAURUUUCUGCACAUAAAAAUYAURAAAMGUUMAUAAUUUCAGAAGAUAGUUUCACUCUGACAAUCAGAAAUCUAACAGAGUGUGAGAGAAAACUUUACUGCUGUAGUGAAACUGUUCCUAAAGAGAAACCAGAUGAAACCGACAGCUGUCAGCAGAACAGCAUUCAGCUCCAGGUCACAGAGCUUCAUGUAAARGUGUUUCCUGCCUCAGAGGGACAGAAAGUGACUCUGAUGUGCUCAAGCAGCUGUUCUCUGACUGAAAGCCCUGCAGCCUUCAUCUGGUACCAGAACGGAGAGUUCCUCUAUGAGGACUGGUCCCCCUGGUACCAAGAGCUGGUCAGCAGUGACCAGGCAGUCAGAUACUCCUGUGCUAUCAAAGGCUACGAGGAUCUCAGAGCUCCUGACGUCUCAGUGGAUUCUGUCUCAGGGAGCUGCUUCAGUGUGACCUAUGCUGGAGGCAGGAUGUGUUCCUACAAAUCAGAGAAACAGUCCUGCUCCAUCACGUUUC